AACGAACGCUGGCGGCAUGCCUAACACAUGCAAGUCGAACGAGAUCUUCGGGUCUAGUGGCGCACGGGUGCGUAACGCGUGGGAAUCUGCCCUCUGGUUCGGAAUAACAGUUGGAAACGACUGCUAAUACCGGAUGAUGACGAAAGUCCAAAGAUUUAUCGCCAGAGGAUGAGCCCGCGUAGGAUUAGCUAGUUGGUGUGGUAAAGGCGCACCAAGGCGACGAUCCUUAGCUGGUCUGGGAGGAUGAUCAGCCACACUGGGACUGAGACACGGCCCAGACUCCUACGGGAGGCAGCAGUGGGGAAUAUUGGACAAUGGGCGAAAGCCUGAUCCAGCAAUGCCGCGUGAGUGAUGAAGGCCUCAGGGUUGUAAAGCUCUUUUACCCGGGAUGAUAAUGACAGUACCGGGAGAAUAAGCUCCGGCUAACUCCGUGCCAGCCGCCGCGGUAA
rnacentral:rRNA from 1 species